UUAUAUAUAUUUAUAAAAUAAUAUAGUAUUUAUAUAUUUACUAAUUUAUAUAUUUUUCUCACCAAAACUGUGUAUUUUACCCAGUGAUCUUCUUUAGUUGUAUAAAUAUUUUACUUAUUUUGAUAUCUGAAUUAUUUUUUGAAAAAUAUUUUUUUGGGUGAAAAUUGGAAAGUAAAAUAGUAAGUCAACAAAUAUUAAAAAAAAAACAGCUAACGGAUUGGUCGAAAGUGUGUAAUAUGUGCAAUUAACCAGACAACUUUCCGAGUCAUUGGUUAUUGGGUCGACCACAUAUGCAGAAAACCGUAGAUUAAUAAAGUAAUUAAUUCUAAUAUAACUAUAUAUAUUAACUAUUAAAAUUUUAGAAGAAUUUUAUGUUUCUUAAAAUAAAACUAGAAAGUAGUAAUUCUUUACAAAGAGUUUAACCAUCGCCUAGCGAUUUUUAAACAUUGUUCAAGACAAACAAAGAAUAAAAAAUUCAGUUUAGAAAAUAGAAGUUAGAACCUAAAAGGUUAGAACAAAUGCUAUUUGUGAUGAAUAGAAUAAAAAAAAAAAAAAUAAUGGAGAUAUAGAAUAUAUGUGGAAACAAAAAACAAUAAGUUCACAAAAAAAUAAAAAAUUAAAAGUGGAAACCAAAAAUUUUAUUCUAAUAAAAACAUUUUUAAUGAAGUAAUUAAAAGCUUAAGAAAAAAAUAAUUAAAAUGUCCGGUGCAUUAACUAGUAUCCGAGUUACCAGGUUUAAGUUUUUAAAGGGUUUUAAAUUUUAAUUAACUAAUAUUUCUUAAAACCCAAACUUAUUACCGGUUUGCCGGUCCGACAUAAAAACAGUGAAUCUCUUAUAUAUUAAUUGAAAAACAUUACAACAUUGUUUUGUAGUCACGUGUCACCAUGAGAAUAAAAUUCAGAAUUCUUAGAUAAAUAAAUUGGUAUAUCUCAACUUAUAUUAUACGUUUUAUUAAAUUAACUAUUAAAUUGAUAAAUACUGUAAAAAGAAUAUUCUCGCACUUUCUUUAAAUAAAAGAUACGGAACUAUCUAAUAUGAUUAACGUAUUUACGACAAUCAAUGAUUAUGAAUAAUAAAUAUUUGAUAAUAAUUUUUGUAUCUCAGCUCUUUUUGUUUAAUUUUAUAUUAUUAAAAGAUAUUAAACAACCACAUUAAUCAUAUAAUAUUUUUUUUCUUAUAUGUUAUAUUUUGAAUUUUUAAAACGACUAUAAGUUACAAAAAACGUUAAAUGUCUCACACUAAAAUUUUGUUAUCAAUGGUUUAACUUUUUAUUUUGUAAUAACAAGAUAAAAAUGAUCAUAAAUCGUAUGAAUAUGAAGUUUUAUUUACUAGACAUUCAUAUUAUAUGUAAUAUAGUUUAAAAUUAAACUAUAUAACAUAGAAAAAUACUUAAAUAUGAUAGUUUCUAAAUUUGUAUUGCAAAAGUAUUGAAACAUUGAUAUUUCAAUUUUGAAAUUUGCAUUCAAAAAAUUGCAAAUUGGAAAUUUUGUGUCUAUCAUAUGAGUAUAAAUUCUAAAUAAUAAAUAUUUAUAUUAUUGAAAUUUAGUUAUAUACCAUAUAAAAUAAAUAAAAUAAUUAUUUUGAUUUAUUUACCAAAAAAAUAUCGUUAAUAAACAAGAUGUAUUGUUUUGAUUUAUAUUUUUACUCUAAUUUAAUUAUAUACAUAAUACGUAAACAGAUACAAAUAAAUAAUAAUAGAUAAAAAUUUGUUUUAUAUAUAACAUUCAUCCCGCGCAAUUGUGCGGGUCUUAGUAUAUGAUAUUUGACAUGCUCUCAAUAAAAAUAUUCUUACUUCUUUAUUAUUAUAUACUAGGUUCUUUUUCCGCGCUACGCGCGGUUUUCGAAUUUUAAUGUAUUUUUUUUCAAUUUAUCAUUUACUAUGUUUUCAAAAUUUUGAGUUUUAUUUUAUUUAUUGAAACUGUUUCUAGAACUAUAAUUUGGACAAUUCUCUCAAAUAUAAAUUUUAAAGUUUCUGUCACAAAAAUAGCAUUCAAACAAAAAAUGACUAAAAUAGCCUCUUUUAUUUUGAAUUUUUUUAAAUUUAUUUUUUAUCUUUUAAAUUUUAAAACUAUAUCCCCAAAAUUCCACCCUUUAACUCUAAACCCUAAGUCUAGAUUAGUUAAUCCUAGGGUAAAAAUGUAUUUUUACUUUUUAAUAAAAUUUAUUUUGGUCAUUUUCUUUAUUGAGGGCUAUUUUUAUAAAAUAAACUAAAAGGAGAGUUUACAAAAGAAAAAAACUAAAAAGGGAUAUCGUAAGAAAUUUUUCUUAUAAUUUUUAAAGAAUUUUUAAACUAUUUGAAAUAAUUUUGUUGUGUUUUGUUAUUGAAACUAUAUAUAUGGUAGUAGUAAGAUAAAUUAAAAAAAUAUUAAAUAUUAGUUUUGACCUAGAUAUUCUUUUAUUUUGCUUGUUUAGUUUCUAUGUAAAAAAAUAAUAUAUAACUUUAUGUAAAACAAUAAUUAAAUUUAUGAUAUAUAACUUUUUUUGGUUUUACAAUCAUUAAGUUCCCAUUAUUUUGAUUUCAUCUUUAAAUUUAUCGUUUUAUAAUCAGUUUUGUUUUCUGUUUAAUUUUUGUUUCUUUUUAACCUUUGUUUUAUUUUGUCAUGUGAUGGAGAGACAUUUUAUUUCAUGAAGUACUUUAGUUGUAGAGGUCUAUUUUCUUACAGUUGAUUUGAUGUUAAAUUCAUUUUUUUUUUAUAAUCUAAGUAAUCAGAUUUUACUUAUAAAAAAUAAUUAUAUAUAUUAAUACAUUUUUUAUAGUCUCUAUGGUUUCUUUUAUUUUUGUUAGAUAGCUUAUGUGCUUGGCCAUCAUUUCCGGAAAAUCAAGUCUACUUACUCAAACAUGCUACUAAAUGACCUGAAGAAAAGCAUAGUGAUAGAGAUAUAAGAUAAUCAACACCAAGAUAUAAGAUAAUUAACACCGUCGCCAAACUAUAAUCCACUUGAACUUUUAUUACAUCUACAAAUUAUUUUUAGAAAGGUGAAAUCAAAAUUACCUCGAGGGCUUGCAUGUCAGAGGUCUCAAGUUCCAUGAAUUUAUUUAGCUAUUGUGUUUAUUUUCUAACAUAAUUUUUUAAUUUGAAGAACAUAUAACUUUAAUCUCAUGAAACCCAUUUCAUAAAUGUUUUGUAUGAUUUCGAGAAUAAUUCAUGGAACAAAAAUAAUUUACAAAAUUUGAGAAUUCUAACCGCUACGGUCUCUCCAACCUUACAAACUGAGUUGAAAAACCACAAACUUUAUUAUAAUUAUUCCCACACCUGUCUCAGCUUUUCUUUUUUUUUUAUUCCAAGAGCUUUGCCUAUGAUGCUCUGAUAGAAUUUUGUAUACGGAGCAG
rnacentral:lncRNA from 1 species